rnacentral:lncRNA from 1 species
GUGACUAGUAUUUAAUUAUUAAUUUGUUAAAAUCAAAAUUGCAAUAAGGAGACCAAUAAAAACAGCAUUAAUUAUUUUACAAUACAUUCAUUCAAAAUAGUUUUAAAACAACACAUGUAUGUAAAACGUGUUUGGCUUACACAAACUCGACUCCGUAAUGAGAUCUAAAAUUUAAUUUUAUAGAGACAAAGUCCCUAAACAUAUAUAUAUAUACUGAUUCAAUCCAAGACCUUGAAAAAGUCGUCUGGCCGUACACUUUAUCUGCGCCAAUAAGAGUAAGAGCUUGAGAAGAAGGGAAAGAAGAUGAAAGCAUUAAGGUUCGUCGGGGGUUCGAAUCCCUCCUCGUUCCUAACAAGCGGAUCUAAUGUUAACAGCCAGAACAGUAACAUAAAUAUCCACGCAGGAUCAAUCAACUGGUUCCUUGAAGAAAGACUUUUUGGGUGUUUCCGCAAUCAUCGUGCUCUUCUCAUCAAUCUAAUAGCAUCCCGUUAUAUUCACAAUUUUAAGAUAAUUAAAAGCUACUUUCUGUUUAGAAAAAUGUUUAAAUAAAACAUUUUUAAAAACGCGUUUUUCAUAGUGAUGCCUUUGUUUUAGCCGGUCCUACUUAUGUGAGUGACAACUAUCAAUCUUUUCUAUAGCCACAUUGAAAUUUCCAGAAAAAUUAGGAGCAACAAUUAUUAAACUAUUCAAUGGCAAUUGAAAUUUCAAAAGAAGACAAAGACACCCACGUUGAAGAAAUGGUCCCAAAUGUACAGAGAAUAUGUCGGGACACUGAACCACUGUGUCACUUAUCAUCCAAUUUCACCAUAAAAAAUGCUCGUGCCUUCACAUGCCUUAUGUCCCAAAAGAAAUUGAAGAAGAAGACUUUUUCUUAAUCUAAAAUAACAAAAUGAUAAAAAGAAAAAUAAAUUUUUUCACCUUCAUCUCUCUAAGACCAUUACAACUGAAAUGCAAGACUAGAUGAUUAUGUUUAUAUGAUUAAAUUUAAAUUGUAGUAAAACAAAUCGUUUAUAUUAAUCACACGACUUCAUAUUUUUGUAAAACUAAAGUACAAAAUUGACAUCACAAUUUUUUCAUAUAUUUAAAUUUUUAUUUUUUUUAUGACAGUUGGUGUCCGGGCCAACUUACGUACACCUCGACUAAUCUCACAAGAUCCUGAAGUUUAUAGUUGAGUACUUAUCUCAGUGGCUUUGAGGGAACUCGAACUGAUAAUCAUUGAGGAGCAAACCCAAAGUCUGAUUACUGAACUAUUCCCUAAAGUUAAUUUUUUUUCAUAUAUUUAACACUACAAAUAUCUACCAACAUAUAUUAAAUAAGUUUUUUUUUUUUUUUAACAUGAACAUCAACUUAAAAGGAACCCCCUUUUUUGCAAGUUCCAGAGUAUGCGGUUGUGUGUCAAAAACAAAGUAAUAAAAAAAGGUAUGCAGUUAUAAGUAAUAAUAGUUUUAAGUAAUUGUUUCCCAUAAUUAUCAUAAUACGUCAGAAGUUUCUUGAAAAAAGAGGAAGGAUAGUAAUAAUUAUCAUAAUAUGAUAAAUUAAUAUGAACACGAAUACCGCACACCACAAAUGAUGGACAAUUCUAGAUCUCAAUAUUCUACCUAACCCGUAAGAAUUAUUUUUGUUCAAACUUUCUUUUGCACCUAUAAACUAAAAAUCUUACGAAAAAUUGUAAUUAAGCUCGAUUGUAGCAAAUCCAGGGAUCGAGUUCAGAUAAGACAGAUCGCAAGCGUUGAAAACUUAAUAUCGAUAGCCAACAUCCGUGACAGUGGGAUUGUUUAUUAAUAUUUAAUUAAAUAACAUUCAAAAAAUCGUACAGAUUAAAAUUAGAAGAACUAAAACUAGCUGUGAACUUUCAUUUUGAAUGAAAAAAUGAUUACAUAAUAUGCAAAAUGUCCUAAUUUAUUUUUUAAUUAAAUAUGCAAUAUAUAUUAACAAAAUGCUAAUAUUCAAUUUAGAAUUAAAGUUAAUUAAACAAGCAUUAUUGUAAUAACAAAAUUGAAUUAUUUAUGUGUUUAAAUCAAUUUUAUGUGCUUGUAUGAUUUUACUUUUUCGCAAUCAAUUUUUUGUGAACGAAAAGUGGAACCUUUUCUUAAUUUAAUAAGUUUUGUUGAAAGAUUCCUUAUGACACUAGAGCCAAUUUUUCUACAAAUUCAUGUAUCACUAAUUGACCAAAAUCUCAAAUUAAUUGAUUAGAGAGGAAAAAAAAAAGAAAAAAAAAUCAAGAAGAGGGACAAAGCACCGGUUAAAAUGUUUCUACUUACAUUAAACCAGUAAAAUUGAACAUAUAUUACUUUUUUACAUUAUGUGCUAAAAAGCAAUAAGUGUCAUGAUGGUAAAAUUAUUAAUAUAUUUGAGAAAUGUAGCAGAUUCGAAUCAUAUUCCUUGUAUUUUUUUGGUAAAAAUUGUUGAAAUACAAAAAUUAUAAAAAAUAUUGCUCUUUAAGAGUUUCGAAUACAAAACCUCCAAUUAAAUAAUAAAAGGGUUAACCAGCUAAGCUAAAAAUUGAAUUAUCAAAUAUAUAAUCUAAAAAUUUUACCUCAAUAAAAAAAAAUUCUCCAUGAUGAAUCCAGUUAGGGCGACCGCCGCCUAGCAUGAUUUGCUUGAUCUGUCCUCUACUUGGUUGCAGAAAAGAGUCAAGAGAUUUAGCAGAUUAAUUGAGGCACGGAUGGACAGGGCGAUUAGAUAGAAUAAAGGCACGGAUGGAUAGGGCGAUUAUAUAGAAUAAACAAUAGUGAGUUGUUGAAUAAUAUGAAUAUUUCAGCUUUUAUAACACUUCCAUGCC